rnacentral:rRNA from 1 species
UUUGAUCUAUCGAUGACCACCUGUGGCGAAGGCGGUCUACCAGAACACGUCCGACGGUGAGGGAUGAAAGCUGGGGGAGCAAACCGGAUUAGAUACCCGGGUAGUCCCAGCUGUAAACUAUGCAAACUCAGUGAUGCAUUGGCUUGUGGCCAAUGCAGUGCUGCAGGGAAGCCGUUAAGUUUGCCGCCUGGGAAGUACGUACGCAAGUAUGAAACUUAAAGGAAUUGGCGGGGGAGCACCACAAGGGGUGAAGCCUGCGGUUCAAUUGGAGUCAACGCCAGAAAUCUUACCCGGAGAGACAGCAGAAUGAAGGUCAAGCUGAAGACUUUACCAGACAAGCUGAGAGGUGGUGCAUGGCCGUCGCCAGCUCGUGCCGUGAGAUGUCCUGUUAAGUCAGGUAACGAGCGAGAUCCCUGCCUCUAGUUGCCACCAUUACUCUCAGGAGUAGUGGGGCGAAUUAGCGGGACCGCCGCAGUUAAUGCGGAGGAAGGAAGGGGCCACGGCAGGUCAGUAUGCCCCGAAACUCUGGGGCCACACGCGGGCUGCAAUGGUAGCGACAAUUGGUUUCGAAUCCGAAAGGAUGAGGUAAUCCACAAACGCUACCACAGUUAUGACUGAGGGCUGCAACUCGCCCUCACGAAUAUGGAAUCCCUAGUAACUGCGUGUCAUUAUCGCGCGGUGAAUACGGCCCCGCUUCUGGCCCCCACGGC